GACGAACGCUGGCGGCGUGCUUAACACAUGCAAGUCGAACGAAGAUUGCAGCAAUGUAAUCUUAGUGGCGGACGGGUGAGUAACGCGUGGGCAACCUGCCUUAUACAGGGGGAUAACACUGGGAAACUAGUGCUAAUACCGCAUGAGAUCACGACAUGACAUCAUGAAGGGAUCAAAGGAGCAAUCCGGUAUAAGAUGGGGCCCGCGUCCGAUUAGCUAGUUGGUGAGGUAACGGCCCACCAAGGCGACGAUCGGUAGCCGAACUGAGAGGUUGAUCGGCCACAUUGGGACUGAGACACGGCCCAGACACCUACGGGUGGCAG
rnacentral:rRNA from 1 species